GACUGAGUACAAUGUGCAUGAUCAGAGUGCUGUCCCACAGUAUGGGAACACAAGCGCAGAAUAGCCUAAAACGUCAAGUUUUGUAGAUAUAUUUCCUUCUUUUUUUUUUUUUUACAAGGAACUGAGAAACUGCAGAGAAAGCGGAAGACGGAACGGGAUUAAGAGAAAGCUAACCAGAGGAGCUGAGAAACUGCAGAGACAGCGGAAGACGGAACGAGAUGAAAAGAAAGCUAACCAGAGGAGCUGUGGAGAAGUUGCUGUGAAAGCCAAAGAAGGAACUGGAUGAACACAAAGCAGACGUGAGGUAUGCAUAAUUAUGUCAUUAUUAUUGUCGAGACAAGCUAGCUAUUUAAGCAUUGCUUGCAUCUAGCUAACUGGCCUAUCUUUCUCCUUGGCCAUUUCACGUUGCCUUCAUCAAAGUCAUCCCAUUUCCCCACUGAUGUCUGCCUCAGACCAAGUCAUGAUUGUUAUGCAUCAAGUUUAAUCAUCUAAUAUAUGGGGUCGAUUAAACUUUCCAUCAUGAGUGUUGCUUCAGUUGCGUUCACAGUAUGAACAGGUAGGCUCAAUUAAGUAAGUUAGCAAGAAAGCAGCUGUUGAUGAAUCUGCAAUCUGGUAAUAACAUGUUAUUAUUAUUAUUAUUAGAACAAAAACUAGUGAAUGGGGUGCAGGGAGGUCGAGUAAAAAGAUAU